UACGGAGGGUGCGAGCGUUGUCCGGAAUCACUGGGCGUAAAGGGCGCGUAGGCGGCUCGUUAAGUGUGCGGUGAAAGCCCGGGGCUCAACCCCGGGUCGGCCGUGCCGACUGGCGAGCUUGAGCGCACUAGAGGCAGGCGGAAUUCCGGGUGUAGCGGUGGAAUGCGUAGAGAUCCGGAAGAACACCGGUGGCGAAGGCGGCCUGCUGGGGUGUGUCGGCAUUCUUCGGAAUGCCUGCUGACGCUGAGGCGCG
rnacentral:misc_RNA from 1 species